GAUGUAAAGGAAUGGGCAGCUGGUGAGACACCUGAUGCAUCUCAUGCCAGUCAAGGCACAACACACAGAGGAAUGCAGCAAUCAAUUGAGGGGCUCUACCUUAGUGUGAGGCACCGGAAGCGAACCCUCUACCGUCAGAAUGACAGCAGCAAGUUUCGCCAUCGCCUUCGAAGGAAGCUGGCAGAAGACAAAAAACUCCUUCUUCAAGAGAUACAGAAAUACAAUGAUCUUGUACUAGAAUCGGCAACAACCAUUGACGUUGCUGUGGUGGAGCAUUCCCUAACUGGAGAGAGCACUGUGUCUCAAAUAUGGCCGUGGGAGGUUCAUGGCAGUGCAAACAUGUCAAUGAAGAAACAAGUGCAUGACCAAGUGAUGUUAACAAGGCGACUGCAUGAGGAAACAAGAGUUUUGGUGUUGGUGUUCACAACACUGUACAUGGUUGCAGAGCCU